UAAUACGUAGGCAGCGAGCGUUGUUCGGAGUUACUGGGCGUAAAGCGUGCGUAGGCGGUCUUGUAAGUCUGGUGUGAAAUCUCCCGGCUCAACUGGGAGGGUGCGCCGGAAACUGCAAGGCUGGAGUAUGGGAGAGGUAGGCGGAAUUCCUGGUGUAGCGGUGAAAUGCGUAGAUAUCAGGAGGAACACCUGUGGUGUAGACGGCUUACUGGACCAUGACUGACGCUGAGGCACGAAAGCGUGGGGAGCAAACAGGAUUAGAUACCCUGGUAGUCCACGCCCUAAACGAUGCAUACUUGGUGUGGGUAAUUCAUUUUAUCCGUGCCGGAGCUAACGCGUUAAGUAUGCCGCCUGGGGAGUACGGUCGCAAGGCUG
rnacentral:rRNA from 1 species